rnacentral:rRNA from 1 species
UACGUAGGUGGCAAGCGUUAUCCGGAUUUAUUGGGUGUAAAGGGCGUGUAGGCGGGAAAGCAAGUCAGAUGUGAAAACUCAGGGCUCAACCCUGAGCCUGCAUUUGAAACUGUUUUUCUUGAGUGCUGGAGAGGCAAUCGGAAUACCGUGUGUAGCGGUGAAAUGCGUAGAUAUACGGAGGAACACCAGUGGCGAAGGCGGAUUGCUGGACAGUAACUGACGCUGAGGCGCGAAAGCGUGGGGAGCAAACAGG